rnacentral:rRNA from 1 species
UCCUACGGGACGCAGCAGUGGGGAAUUUUGGACAAUGGGCGCAAGCCUGAUCCAGCUAUUCCGCGUGUGGGAAGACGGCCUUCGGGUUGUAAACCACUUUUGUAGAGAACGAAAAGUCUAUUGAUAAUACCGAUAGAUGAUGACGGUACUCUAAGAAUAAGCACCGGCUAACUACGUGCCAGCAGCCGCGGUAAUACGUAGGGUGCGAGCGUUAAUCGGAAUUACUGGGCGUAAAGGGUGUGCAGGCGGCUUUUGCAGAUGGAUGUGAAAGCCCCUGGCUUAACCUGGGGAAGCCAUACAGGACG